UGCACCUGCGGGCAUUGAACAACCCGGGUUCUUCUUGUGGCCCUGGCAACAGCAGGUGCUGAGGAAACACUGGCUGAGCCCAGCCCAGCAGCGCCCUGCACGGAUUCCCCUCAUCCCAUCUGCCCCAGAGGGGCGAAGCGGAGAAAAUCAAGAGGGUCCUGAGAUCCCUCUGGGAACAGGGCAGCCGCUCUGGCACAGAACCUUCCAGGGCUGAUUACUCACACACACACAGCCGUCUCCUUUUGGAGCCAGCACUCGAGAGGCCGGGAUAAAACUCCACCGGAUGAAUAAAAAUGCCGACCGACUGCCAGCCAUCAGCAGGGAUCCCAGUUUGAGUCCUCAGGGACCACCUGGGGCUCCUCCCACCCUGCAAUGACAUCCCUCUGACAGCAGGACUCCCCAGAAUUAGAGACCCGUGUGGCUCAGCGACACUCGGUCAGCAAACACUGCUGCCUUGGUUCUGGGCGGCAGCGGAGCACUGGCCUCUUCUGCUCGCCCCUGGACCUCCCCCCCGCCCCGUCAGAGGCAGUGAGGAAGGAGCUGGACUCUCCAGGGACCCAGACCUGGGAUGGGCUCCCUGACCACUGCUAUGCCUCAGUUUCCCUACAUUUACAAGCUAAUUGUUCCUCUCCCAGCUGCAAUGCAUAUUAAACAAGUGAAUACACA